rnacentral:snRNA from 1 species
UCACCAAUCUCAAGCCUCUGGCUUAGAUCAAGUGUAGUAUCUGUUCUCUUUAGUUUGAAAGCUAAAGUGACUCCACUGGAGUCAUCAACUUUCAAAUUAAUUUGUCUCCUGGGAGUUUAUUCGAGGCUUGCUUCGGAUAAACUCAAGGGUGUCCUUGGCAUUGCAGUACAGCCAUGUGACGCCCACCAACU